rnacentral:rRNA from 1 species
UUGGGUGAACCCAGCGGAGGGGAUCAUUGCUGGAACGCGCCCCAGGCGCACCCAGAAACCCUUUGUGAACUUAUACCUUUUGUUGCCUCGGGCGCAUGCUGGUCUAUAGUAGGCCCCUCACCCCGGUGAGGAGACGGCACGCCGGCGGCCAAGUUAACUCUGUUUUUACACUGAAACUGUGAGAAAAAACACAAAUGAAUCAAAACUUUCAACAACGGAUCUCUUGGUUCUGGCAUCGAUGAAGAACGCAGCGAAAUGCGAUAAGUAAUGUGAAUUGCAGAAUUCAGUGAAUCAUCGAAUCUUUGAACGCACAUUGCGCCCUCUGGUAUUCCGGAGGGCAUGCCUGUUCGAGCGUCAUUUCAACCCUCAAGCAUUGCUUGGUGUUGGGGCACUGCUUUUAACGAAGCAGGCCCUGAAAUCUAGUGGCGAGCUCGCCAGGACCCCGAGCGUAGUAGUUAAACCCUCGCUUUGGAAGGCCCUGGCGGUGCCCUGCCGUUAAACCCCCAACUUUUGAAAAUUUGACCUCGGAUCAGGUAGGAAUACCCGCUGAACUUAAGCAUAUCAAUAAGCGGAGGA